GACGAACGCUGGCGGCGUGCUUAACACAUGCAAGUCGAACGAAAAGAGGGAAAGAGCUUGCUCUUUCCGGAAUUGAGUGGCAAACGGGUGAGUAACACGUAAACAACCUGCCUUCAGGAUGGGGACAACAGACGGAAACGACUGCUAAUACCGCAUAAGUUCCAAGAGCCGCAUGGCCCAUGGAAGAAAAGGUGGCCUCUACCUGUAAGCUAUCGCCUGAAGAGGGGUUUGCGUCUGAUUAGCUGGUUGGAGGGGUAACGGCCCACCAAGGCGACGAUCAGUAGCCGGUCUGGGAGGAUGAACGGCCACACUGGAACUGAGACACGGUCCAGACUCCUACGGGAGGCAGCAGUGGGGAAUCUUCCGCAAUGGGCGAAAGCCUGACGGAGCAACGCCGCGUGGGUGAUGACGGCCUUCGGGUUGUAAAACUCUGUGAUCCGGGACGAAAAGGCAGAGUGCGAAGAACAAACUGCAUUGACGGUACCGGAAAAGCAAGCCACGGCUAACUACGUG
rnacentral:rRNA from 1 species